UUUCCUGAAGGUUGGCAAACCAGGAAACAUUGUUUCCUAGCCAUGUUUCCCAAAGGUGGACAAACCAGGAAACAUUGUUUCCUAGCCAUGUUUCCCAAGGGUGGGCAAACCAGGACACAUUGUUUCCUAGCCAUGUUUCCCAAAGGUUGGCAAACCAGGACACAUUGUUUCCUAGCCAUGUUUCCCAAAGGUUGGCAAACCAUGAAACAGUGUGUCCUAGCCAUGUUUCUCAAAGGUGGGCAAAUCGGGAAACAUUGUUUCCCAGCCAUGUUUCCCAAAGGUGGACAAACCAGGAAACAUUGUUUCCUACCCAUGUUUCCUGAAGGUUGGCAAACCAGGAAACAUUGUUUCCUAACCAUGUUUCCCGAAGGUGGACAAACCAGGAAACAUUGUUUCCUAGCCAUGUUUCCUGAAGGUUGGCAAACCAGGAAACAUUGUUUCCUAGCCAUGUUUCCCAAUGGUGGACAAACCAGGAAACAUUGUUUCCUAGCCAUGUUUCCUGAAGGUUGGCAAACCAGGAAACAUUGUUUCCUAACCAUGUUUCCCAAUGGUGUACAAACCAGGAAACAUUGUUUCCUAGCCAUGUUUCCCAAAGGUUGGCAAACCAUGAAACAUUGUUUCCUAACCAUGUUUCCCAAAGGUGGACAAACCAGGAAACAUUGUUUCCUAGCCAUGUUUCCUGAAGGUUGGCAAACCAGGAAACAUUGUUUCCUAGCCAUGUUUCCCAAAGGUGGACAAACCAGGAAACAUUGUUUCCUAGCCAUGUUUCCCAAGGGUGGGCAAACCAGGACACAUUGUUUCCUAGCCAUGUUUCCCAAAGGUUGGCAAACCAGGACACAUUGUUUCCUAGCCAUGUUUCCCAAAGGUUGGCAAACCAUGAAACAGUGUGUCCUAGCCAUGUUUCUCAAAGGUGGGCAAAUCGGGAAACAUUGUUUCCCAGCCAUGUUUCCCAAAGGUGGACAAACCAGGAAACAUUGUUUCCUACCCAUGUUUCCUGAAGGUUGGCAAACCAGGAAACAUUGUUUCCUAACCAUGUUUCCCGAAGGUGGACAAACCAGGAAACAUUGUUUCCUAGCCAUGUUUCCUGAAGGUUGGCAAACCAGGAAACAUUGUUUCCUAGCCAUGUUUCCCAAAGGUGGACAAACCAGGAAACAUUGUUUCCUAGCCAUGUUUCCCAAGGGUGGGCAAACCAGGACACAUUGUUUCCUA
rnacentral:lncRNA from 1 species